rnacentral:rRNA from 1 species
AUUAGAUACCCUGGGUAGUCCACGCCGUAAACGAUGAAUACUAGGUGUUGGGGAACAAUAGUUCUUCGGUGCCGCAGCAAACGCAUUAAGUAUUCCACCUGGGGAGUACGUUCGCAAGAAUGAAACUCAAAGGAAUUGACGGGGACCCGCACAAGCGGUGGAGCAUGUGGAUUAAUUCGACGCAACGCGAAGAACCUUACCUGGUCUUGACAUCCCUAUGACCGGACAGUAAUGUGUCCUUUCCUUCGGGACAGAGGAGACAGGUGGUGCAUGGUUGUCGUCAGCUCGUGUCGUGAGAUGUUGGGUUAAGUCCCGCAACGAGCGCAACCCUUACCUUUAGUAGCCAGCGGAAAAGCCGGGCACUCUAGAGGGACUGCCAGGGAUAACCUGGAGGAAGGUGGGGAUGACGUCAAAUCAUCAUGCCCCUUAUGACCAGGGCUUCACACGUGCUACAAUGGCGUAAACAAAGAGAAGCGACGCCGUGAGGCCAAGCAAAUCUCAAAAAUAACGUCUCAGUUCGGAUUGUAGUCUGCAACUCGACUACAUGAAGCUGGAAUCGCUAGUAAUCGCAAAUCAGAAUGUUGCGGUGAAUACGUUCCCGGGUCUUGUACACACCGCCCGUCACACCAUGGGAGUUGGAUAUGCCCGAAGUCAGUGACCCAACCGAAAGGAGGGAGCUGCCGAAGGUGGAGCCGAUGACUGGGGUGAAGUCGUAACAAGGUACC